rnacentral:lncRNA from 1 species
AUGGAGAUAGAAGUUCAUCUCUUUAAGGUCUCCCAAGACUCACAAAGGUUUUGUCAUCCUUGCUGUCUCCUCCCAACAGGGCACCUCUUGGCUGCAUGUGGGAACAGACCAACCCUUUGUUUCAGUCACCAUAGGAAUGUUUUACCAAGUCUGGGCUGUCGCCCAAGAUGGCUCGGCAUUCUGUCGCGGUUCAGUGUCAUCAAAGAAACCAGAAGGCGAAUGCUGGUACCACGUUCCUUCUCCUCUGAAGCAGAAGUUAAAGCAAGUGUCCGUGGGACGAACGGCUGUGCUGGCGGUGGAUAAAAAUGGUAAUCUGUGGUUUCGUGCCGGAAUCACACCGAGUUACCCUCAAGGAUCUAGUUGGGAACAUAUUUCAAACAACGUCCGGAAAGUUUCUGUGGGACCCUUGGAUCAGGUGUGGCCGUAGUAGAAAAGUAUAUAUUUUAAGAAUUUAAACCAGUGGUUUUUUUUAACC